GCUAACCAAACCUCAUAAUACAGUCCUUGAAAGCCACAGAAAUACUCCGGUGCCCAAAAUUUUGUUGGGACUCCAUAGAUGUUAGGAAGUGAUGGGGCAAGUUCUGAUGCUACGAGGCCUGCCAGAGGCACCACCAGCAACACCAGUAUGUUCCAGCAUGUACCCCUAAACAGCACAUGGUUUGCUUUUCUAAUUACUCUUUUUCCUGACUCUCUUUUUACCACCUUCGUACCUGCCUUAUCUGCUCUGCUCUCCUCUCAGGUUAACAACAACUUUUUAGUAACUACUUUCUCCCCUUUCUUCCCUGUUUUGCUACAUCUGUACACAUAUUUGGUAUUUCUGAUAUUGUUACCUAGAUGAUUUUCACUUAUGUAGUAUUACUGGAAGAGUUAUCAAGAAUCUGCUGAGCUUUCAAGACUUCACUCCCCAAAUUCACCCAGUGCUUCCCAUGAGUGGUCUGUGAAGCCAGACUCUUUCUCCCUUUAGUCUGCUUAAGCACUGGAGAAAUCCUACUAUCCCUCAUGGCACUAACUGUAGGUUUUGUCAGCUUCUCAUUUUGUAAUCCAACAUGUCAGACAAUUUCUUAUGUCACAUCUGACACUUUUCUGUGUCCUACCCCUUUAGCAUAACCUCAGCAGGAACCCAGUUGGCCUUUUCAUUUGCUUAAAGCCCUAAGGUGCAAUCAAGUCUCAGGGCUGUUCCAAAACUUAAAAGGUAUUCUAACUUGCCUGAAUAGCCACUUCAAUCUGAACUGCAAAAGGAGACAUACCAUUUCUUGGGUUAACAUUGUGAAUAUAAUAGUAACUACAAGAAUGCCUCAGAAAUAUAGCAGUGGAUGGUGGAUGGCUUCUAGUUGCUCAGAUUUCAUAGUGAUGUUUUGAUUUGAGAAAUCAUAUGAGAAGGAAUAUAAUAUAUGUAACAGGCCACCAGUGAGCUGAAAAUUUAUGCACGAAGAGAUAGGUAAUGUAGAUCUAUAUUUGUCCUUCUAAUGUUGGAAAGAGAGCCUACCAGCUCUAUACAAAUAAAACACUUGAAAGCCAGCUGAAUGCUAAGGCUGAAGUGGAAUCUUUGGUAUUUCAGAGAUAGUUAAAACCUGUUUUCCUAAUGGUUGCAUCAAAAUAAAACAUUCUUUUUCCUUACUUGGCAUUACCAAGGAACUGGAGAUAAGCGACUCUGUGGAAGAAAAAAAAUGGAGCAAAGAGUGAGGAUUUAGAGAAUCCAAAAAGUAUUUGUCUUGACUUAGAGAAAAAAUGGACAUCCUUGGAUGUUCAUCUUUAAAAAAGAUCCUUGGAUCUUUUUAAAAGAGGAAAAAGUGUAAUGGAAAGGAGGGCAUAAGAGAAGGAUGCUUAGGAAACGGAUUCAAUGCUGCACGUUAAAUGAGAUAUAUUGAUGUAUAUAUGUUGAUUUCAAAUUUAAAAUGAUUUGAUCUGAGGGAACCAGAGAUUAUAAUGCAUGAGAUAGUUGUCUGUGACAGUGGGGAGUUAGACUUAAUACUGAGGGAGAUUAUUUCUCUCCUGCGUAGCCUAUUUCAGUUCCUCCUGCACCACAGGUUUCUGAGGGUGACAAUACUGUGAUCCAUACUGAAACAGAAGACAUCAUGAGAUAAAACACAUAGUCUACAUUUACAAAUAAAAGUUUAUUUAGUAGUAUGUUUUCA